rnacentral:rRNA from 1 species
AUGAACGCUGGCGGCGUGCCUAAUACAUGCAAGUCGAGCGAACAGACGAGGAGCUUGCUCCUCUGACGUUAGCGGCGGACGGGUGAGUAACACGUGGAUAACCUACCUAUAAGACUGGGAUAACUUCGGGAAACCGGAGCUAAUACCGGAUAAUAUGUUGAACCGCAUGGUUCAAUAGUGAAAGACGGUUUUGCUGUCACUUAUAGAUGGAUCCGCGCCGCAUUAGCUAGUUGGUAAGGUAACGGCUUACCAAGGCAACGAUGCGUAGCCGACCUGAGAGGGUGAUCGGCCACACUGGAACUGAGACACGGUCCAGACUCCUACGGGAGGCAGCAGUAGGGAAUCUUCCGCAAUGGGCGAAAGCCUGACGGAGCAACGCCGCGUGAGUGAUGAAGGUCUUCGGAUCGUAAAACUCUGUUAUUAGGGAAGAACAAAUGUGUAAGUAACUAUGCACGUCUUGACGGUACCUAAUCAGAAAGCCACGGCUAACUACGUG